rnacentral:rRNA from 1 species
AGCGAACGCUGGCGGCAGGCCUAACACAUGCAAGUCGAACGGAUCCUUCGGGAUUAGUGGCGGACGGGUGAGUAACGCGUGGGAAUCUACCCAGAUCUUCGGAACAACUGAGGGAAACUUCAGCUAAUACCGGAUACGCCCUACGGGGGAAAGAUUUAUCGGUUCUGGAUGAGCCCGCGUUGGAUUAGCUAGUUGGUGAGGUAACGGCUCACCAAGGCGACGAUCCAUAGCUGGUCUGAGAGGAUGAUCAGCCACACUGGGACUGAGACACGGCCCAGACUCCUACGGGAGGCAGCAGUGGGGAAUAUUGGACAAUGGGCGAAAGCCUGAUCCAGCCAUGCCGCGUGAGUGAUGAAGGCCUUAGGGUUGUAAAGCUCUUUCAGUGGGGAAGAUAAUGACGGUACCCACAGAAGAAGCCCCGGCUAACUUCGUGCCAGCCGCCGCCGUAAUAC